rnacentral:rRNA from 1 species
CACCUCUUCCCAUUCCGAACAGAGAAGUUAAGCCCGUCAGCGCCGAUGGUACUGCGUAAAAGUGGGAGAGUAGGUCGCUGCCAAUU